rnacentral:rRNA from 1 species
GUGGGGUAACGGCCGACCAAGGCGACGACGGGUAGCCGGCCUGAGAGGGCGACCGGCCACACUGGGACUGAGACACGGCCCAGACUCCUACGGGAGGCAGCAGUGGGGAAUAUUGCGCAAUGGGCGAAAGCCUGACGCAGCGACGCCGCGUGGGGGAUGAAGGCCUUCGGGUUGUAAACCCCUUUCAGCAGGGACGAAGCGAAAGUGACGGUACCUGCAGAAGAAGCGCCGGCUAACUACGUGCCAGCAGCCGCGGUAACACGUAGGGCGCAAGCGUUGUCCGGAAUUAUUGGGCGUAAAGAGCUCGUAGGCGGUCUGUUGCGUCCGCUGUGAAAUCUCGGGGCUUAACCCCGAGCCUGCAGUGGAUACGGGCAGACUAGAGGUAGGUAGGGGAGAAUGGAAUUCCCGGUGUAGCGGUGAAAUGCGCAGAUAUCGGGAGGAACACCGGUGGCGAAGGCGGUUCUCUGGGCCUUACCUGACGCUGAGGAGCGAAAGCGUGGGGAGCGAACAGGAUUAGAUACCCUGGUAGUCCACGCCGUAAACGUUGGGCGCUAGGUGUGGGAUCCUUCCACGGAUUCCGUGCCGCAGCUAACGCAUUAAGCG